CCUACGGGUGGCAGCAGUGAGGAAUAUUGGUCAAUGGUCGGGAGCCUGAACCAGCCAAGUCGCGUGCGGGAGGAAGGCACUGCGUAUCGUAAACCUCUUUUGCCCGGGGAUAACACCCUCGACGCGUGGCCGGCUGAGUGUACCGUACGAAUAAGGGUCGGCUAAUUCCGUGCCAGCAGCCGCGGUAAUACGGAGGACGCGAGCGUUAUCCGGAUUCAUUGGGCUUAAAGGGUGCGUAGGCGGGCUGUCAAGUCAGCGGUAAAAUCCCGCGGCUCAACCCCGCCCCGCCGUUGAAACUGGCCGUCUGGAGUUGACAAGAGGUAGGCGGAAUGCGCGGUGUAGCGGUGAAAUGCAUAGAUAUCACGCAGAACCCCGAUUGCGAAGGCAGCCUGCCGGGGUCCCACUGACGCUGAGGCACGAAGGCGUGGGUAUCGAACAGGAUUAGAUACCCCGGUAGUC
rnacentral:rRNA from 1 species